rnacentral:misc_RNA from 1 species
GUUGGUGAACCAGCGGAGGGAUCAUUACGAGAGUGUAACAACUCCCAACCCACUGUUUACCUACCCGUCCAACGUGCUUCGGCAGGCAGCCCUGUGGGACAGAGCCUCGCCCCCCUCGGGGGGUGCCUGCCGCUGGCCAACCAAACUCUAGCUGUUUUAGUACCAUCUGAGUCUUAUACAAAAUAAACAAAACUUUCAACAACGGAUCUCUUGGUUCUG